rnacentral:rRNA from 1 species
AUUGAACGCUGGCGGCAUGCUUUACACAUGCAAGUCGGACGGCAGCACAGAGAAGCUUGCUUCUUGGGUGGCGAGUGGCGAACGGGUGAGUAAUAUAUCGGAACGUACCGAGUAAUGGGGGAUAACUAAUCGAAAGAUUAGCUAAUACCGCAUAUUCUCUGAGGAGGAAAGCAGGGGACCUUCGGACCUUGCGUUAUUCGAGCGGCCGAUAUCUGAUUAGCUAGUUGGUGGGGUAAAGGCCUACCAAGGCGACGAUCAGUAGCGGGUCUGAGAGGAUGAUCCGCCACACUGGGACUGAGACACGGCCCAGACUCCUACGGGAGGCAGCAGUGGGGAAUUUUUGGACAAUGGGCGCAAGCCUGAUCCAGCC